rnacentral:rRNA from 1 species
AAUAUCCAGUAACGCGGGUUCCACCUGUUCCCAUGCCGAACACAGCAGUUAAGCCGCUAAACGCCGAAGGUACUUGGCUGGAAACAGCCUGGGAGAUUAGGAAGUUGCUGGUU